rnacentral:rRNA from 1 species
AUUGAACGCUGGCGGCAUGCCUUACACAUGCGAAGUCGAACGGCAGCACGGGAGCAAUCCUGGUGGCGAGUGGCGAACGGGUGAGUAAUAUAUCGGAACGUGCCCAGUCGUGGGGGAUAACGUAGCGAAAGCUACGCUAAUACCGCAUACGAUCUAUGGAUGAAANCGGGGGAUCGCAAGACCUCGCGCGAUUGGAGCGGCCGAUAUCAGAUUAGGUAGUUGGUGAGGUAAAGGCUCACCAAGCCGACGAUCUGUAGCUGGUCUGAGAGGACGACCAGCCACACUGGGACUGAGACACGGCCCAGACUCCUACGGGAGGCAGCAGUGGGGAAUUUUGGACAAUGGACGCAAGUCUGAUCCAGCCAUUCCGCGUGCAGGAUGAAGGCCCUCGGGUUGUAAACUGCUUUGUACGGAACGAAACGGUGAGCUCUAAUACAGUUUGCUAAUGACGGUACCGUAAGAAUAAGCACCGGCUAACUACGUG